rnacentral:tRNA from 1 species
GGGCAAAUAGCUCAGUCGGUUAGAGCACCUCGUUUACACCGAGGGGGUCGGGGGUUCGAGCCCCUCUUUGCCCA